GGACAGCUUGAGAUUAGGGAAAAAGGUUUGUGAGGAUCCAUACAGUGUAGAAGUUGAUUUGGAAGGAAAAAGUGAUCCAGACAAGUCUUUAGUAAAAGAAUCAGCUGAUGGAAACACUUCUAGUAGUGAUGAACCAUCGCCUCAGAAAAAGAUGAGGUCUUCUCUUGAGGGAUUAAAAAAUUCCAGUGUAGUUGACAGAGCAGAUAAAGAAAAUAAUGCUGUAAACAUUGCACCGAAUAGUUCCAGAAGUUCUGACACCUUACGCCUCGCGUUAAGCCCUGCAAUUACGAGUCCAAAGGCUCCCAGUACACCAAGCGAAAAUUCAUCCUUGGCAUACUGCCCACCUGAUCUAAACAGGAAUAUCACUGACAUAUUUGGAAAACUAAUCAACAUAUAUAGGGCAUUGGGUGAUGAUCGAAGGUCAUUUAGCUAUUACAAGGCUAUUCAAGUUAUUGAGAAGUUGCUAUUCAAAAUUGAAAGUGCAGAACAGGUCAAAGAUCUACCUGGUAUUGGGAAGUCAAUGCAGGAUCAUAUACAGGAGAUAGUGACUACUGGCAAAUUGUCCAAGUUGGAGCAUUUUGAAACAGAUGAAAAGGUACGGACAAUUAGUCUAUUUGGUGAAGUUUGGGGUAUAGGUCCAGCCACUGCCUUUAAAUUGUAUGAGAAAGGAUAUCGCACACUAGAUGAUCUUGAGAAUGAAGAUUCAUUAACGCACGCACAGAAGUUAGGAUUGAAAUAUUUUGAUGAUAUUAAGACGAGGGUUCCACGCAAUGAGGUUCAAGAAAUGGAACAACUCAUGCAGAAAACUGGGGAAGAGAUAUUGCCUGGGGUGGUUAUCAUAUGUGGAGGAUCUUAUAGACGAGGAAAAGCAUCUUGUGGGGAUUUGGAUGUGGUAAUUACUCACCCUGAUGGGAAAAGUCAUAAGGGUUUUUU
rnacentral:misc_RNA from 1 species